rnacentral:rRNA from 1 species
GUCUACACCCAUGCCACCCUGAACAAGCCCAAUCCCGUCUGAUCUUGGAAGCUAAGCAACGUCAGGCCUGGUUAGUACUUGGAUAGGAGACCACCUAGGAAGAUCAGGUGCUGUAGGCA